CCUGUGGAGGCAAUUAAAUGAGAAACAAUGCUUUACACCUUCACCCACUAGAAGGAAAGGCAUCAGGACUAUAGAUAAGAUUACUCCACAGGUAUGGAGGCUAGAAGAUGUCUUAAUAACAUCUGAAAUAUCAUCCACCUCAGGGGGCCCAGGUAGCCACGGACAGGCCUCCAGAAGAAGAAGUAGUAGUAAAAACAACACUAACUAUUCAAGGGAGGUUUUGGCAAGUCCUGAUCUUUGGAAGGGUGUCAUAUGAAUGCAGGAUUGUGUUGAGGAUCUAAAGGCUCCUGACUGAAAAAUGAUCCUGGAAUGGAACAAAGUAUUCUGACAGUUUUAAGGGAAGAAUGAAAAGAAAAUGAAGACUGGGUACGAACCUGAAGACUGAAGACGAACCUCUGCUGUCCUGUGCCUUGAACAUCAAUGCUGUUGCAAAGAAGUGAAAGGUUUCCUGAUGCAGUCGCAUUUUCCAGGGAAAAGGAAUCAAAACAGCAGAAAAUAGAUCCAAGACAGGCCACAGCAGACACAGCCAAGAAAAGAGCGUCUUGUUAUGUACCUCUGCUGGACAAGAAGAUGAAGGCCUUCUCAGCUCAUGCAGGAGACAUUAUAUCACCAAAGCCAAGCACAAAGACUUUUACUACUCUUACUUAUAGUUGGUUUCAAUAAGUCUGUUGUUAGGAGCAACUUUUCAAAGGUCCUCCUCAUGGAUAUGUUGCUCAUUCUUCCUCCUCAGCUUUGUUCUGAAACAAAUAAAAGGUGUAAUUAUCCAC
rnacentral:lncRNA from 7 species